rnacentral:rRNA from 1 species
CGGCAGCACAGAAGAGCUUGCUCUUUGGGUGGCGAGUGGCGGACGGGUGAGUAAUGUCUGGGAAACUGCCCGAUGGAGGGGGAUAACUACUGGAAACGGUAGCUAAUACCGCAUAACGUCGCAAGACCAAAGUGGGGGACCUUCGGGCCUCACACCAUCGGAUGUGCCCAGAUGGGAUUAGCUAGUAGGUGGGGUAAUGGCUCACCUAGGCGACGAUCCCUAGCUGGUCUGAGAGGAUGACCAGCCACACUGGAACUGAGACACGGUCCAGACUCCUACGGGAGGCAGCAGUGGGGAAUAUUGCACAAUGGGCGCAAGCCUGAUGCAGCCAUGCCGCGUGUAUGAAGAAGGCCUUCGGGUUGUAAAGUACUUUCAGCGGGGAGGAAGGCGGUGAGGUUAAUAACCUUGCCGAUUGACGUUACCCGCAGAAGAAGCACCGGCUAACUCCGUGCCAGCAGCCGCGGUAAUACGGAGGGUGCAAGCGUUAAUCGGAAUUACUGGGCGUAAAGCGCACGCAGGCGGUCUGUUAAGUCAGAUGUGAAAUCCCCGGGCUUAACCUGGGAACUGCAUUUGAAACUGGCAGGCUUGAGUCUCGUAGAGGGGGGUAGAAUUCCAGGUGUAGCGGUGAAAUGCGUAGAGAUCUGGAGGAAUACCGGUGGCGAAGGCGGCCCCCUGGACGAAGACUGACGCUCAGGUGCGAAAGCGUGGGGAGCAAACAGGAUUAGAUACCCUGGUAGUCCACGCCGUAAACGAUGUCGACUUGGAGGUUGUGCCCUUGAGGCGUGGCUUCCGGAGCUAACGCGUUAAGUCGACCGCCUGGGGAGUACGGCCGCAAGGUUAAAACUCAAAUGAAUUGACGGGGGGCCCGCACAAGCGGUGGAGCAUGUGGUUUAAUUCGAUGCAACGCGAAGAACCUUACCUGGCCUUGACAUCCAGAGAACUUAGCAGAGAUGCUUUGGUGCCUUCGGGAACUCUGAGACAGGUGCUGCAUGGCUGUCGUCAGCUCGUGUUGUGAAAUGUUGGGUUAAGUCCCGCAACGAGCGCAACCCUUAUCCUUUGUUGCCAGCGGUUCGGCCGGGAACUCAAAGGAGACUGCCGGUGAUAAACCGGAGGAAGGUGGGGAUGACGUCAAGUCAUCAUGGCCCUUACGGCCAGGGCUACACACGUGCUACAAUGGCGCAUACAAAGAGAAGCGACCUCGCGAGAGCAAGCGGACCUCAUAAAGUGCGUCGUAGUCCGGAUUGGAGUCUGCAACUCGACUCCAUGAAGUCGGAAUCGCUAGUAAUCGUAGAUCAGAAUGCUACGGUGAAUACGUUCCCGGGCCUUGUACACACCGCCCGUCACACCAUGGGAGUGGGUUGCAAAAGAAGUAGGUAGCUUAACCUUCGGGAGGGCGCUUA